rnacentral:misc_RNA from 1 species
GAGAAGAACGCAGCGAAAUGCGAUAAGUAAUGUGAAUUGCAGAAUUCAGUGAAUCAUCGAAUCUUUGAACGCACCUUGCGCCCUUUGGCUAUUCCGAAGGGCAUGCCUGUUUGAGUAUCAUGAACACCUCAACUCUUCACGGCUUGCCGUGAUGAGUUUGGACUUUGGGGGUCUUGCUGGCCUACGAGCCAGCUCCUCUCAAAUGUAUUAGCUUGCCGGUGUUUGGUGGCAUCACAGGUGUGAUAACUAUCUACGCUUGUGGUUUUCCACUAGGUAACCUUCAGCAAUGGAGGUUCACCGGAGCUCACAAAUGUCUCUCCUUGCCAAGGACAGAUUUUGACCAUUUGAUCUCAAAUCAGGUAGGACUACCCGCUGAACUUAAGCAUAUCAAUAAGCGGAGGA